rnacentral:sRNA from 1 species
ACUCCGUGUCCUAGCAGACACCUACGACUCAGUUUAUCUGCAUCCGAACUCAUACUCCUGUGCCUGCCUGGCCUCAGGCUCUGUCCUCAGGCUGGUGGAUGCGGUCCUGGGGGCUGAGAUCCGGAAUGGCAUGGCCAUCAUUAGGUAGGACUCUACAGCAUUUGACUUUUUACAUUGUUUUAAAGUCCUUCCUUCAAGUGUAAAAUGUAUCGAUAUGGGUAAUAUAUUCAUGUGAUUCAAGAAUCCAAAGGUAAAAAAGAGAAUAUAAUUAAAAAUCUGUCUCCCAUCCUUGUCACCCAGACACCUGCCUCCUCUCAUGGGAGGUAGUCAUUGGAACCACUGACUCAUGUGUCCUCCCACAAAGUCUUAUUCAAGAAAUAAAUACCAUAUUUCAUUG